rnacentral:rRNA from 1 species
UUAAGCGACUAAGCGUACACGGUGGAUGCCCUGGCAGUCAGAGGCGAUGAAGGACGUGCUAAUCUGCGAUAAGCGUCGGUGAGGUGAUAUGAACCGUUAUAACCGGCGAUUUCCGAAUGGGGAAACCCAGUGUGUUUCGACACACUAUCAUUAACUGAAUCCAUAGGUUAAUGAGGCGAACCGGGGGAACUGAAACAUCUAAGUACCCCGAGGAAAAGAAAUCAACCGAGAUUCCCCCAGUAGCGGCGAGCGAACGGGGAGGAGCCCAGAGCCUGAAUCAGUGUGUGUGUUAGUGGAAGCGUCUGGAAAGGCGUGCGAUACAGGGUGACAGCCCCGUACACAAAAAUGCACAUAUUGUGAGCUCGAUGAGUAGGGCGGGACACGUGGUAUCCUGUCUGAAUAUGGGGGGACCAUCCUCCAAGGCUAAAUACUCCUGACUGACCGAUAGUGAACCAGUACCGUGAGGGAAAGGCGAAAAGAACCCCGGCGAGGGGAGUGAAAAAGAACCUGAAACCGUGUACGUACAAGCAGUGGGAGCCUCUUAAUGGGGUGACUGCGUACCUUUUGUAUAAUGGGUCAGCGACUUAUAUUCUGUAGCAAGGUUAACCGAAUAGGGGAGCCGAAGGGAAACCGAGUCUUAACUGGGCGUUAAGUUGCAGGGUAUAGACCCGAAACCCGGUGAUCUAGCCAUGGGCAGGUUGAAGGUUGGGUAACACUAACUGGAGGACCGAACAGACUAAUGUUGAAAAAUUAGCGGAUGACUUGUGGCUGGGGGUGAAAGGCCAAUCAAACCGGGAGAUAGCUGGUUCUCCCCGAAAGCUAUUUAGGUAGCGCCUCGUGAAUUCAUCUCCGGGGGUAGAGCACUGUUUCGGCAAGGGGGUCAUCCCGACUUACCAACCCGAUGCAAACUGCGAAUACCGGAGAAUGUUAUCACGGGAGACACACGGCGGGUGCUAACGUCCGUCGUGAAGAGGGAAACAACCCAGACCGCCAGCUAAGGUCCCAAAGUCAUGGUUAAGUGGGAAACGAUGUGGGAAGGCCCAGACAGCCAGGAUGUUGGCUUAGAAGCAGCCAUCAUUUAAAGAAAGCGUAAUAGCUCACUGGUCGAGUCGGCCUGCGCGGAAGAUGUAACGGGGCUAAACCAUGCACCGAAGCUGCGGCAGCGACACUAUGUGUUGUUGGGUAGGGGAGCGUUCUGUAAGCCUGUGAAGGUGGCCUGUGAGGGUUGCUGGAGGUAUCAGAAGUGCGAAUGCUGACAUAAGUAACGAUAAAGCGGGUGAAAAGCCCGCUCGCCGGAAGACCAAGGGUUCCUGUCCAACGUUAAUCGGGGCAGGGUGAGUCGACCCCUAAGGCGAGGCCGAAAGGCGUAGUCGAUGGGAAACAGGUUAAUAUUCCUGUACUUGGUGUUACUGCGAAGGGGGGACGGAGAAGGCUAUGUUGGCCGGGCGACGGUUGUCCCGGUUUAAGCGUGUAGGCUGGUUUUCCAGGCAAAUCCGGAAAACCAAGGCUGAGGCGUGAUGACGAGGCACUACGGUGCUGAAGCGACAAAUGCCCUGCUUCCAGGAAAAGCCUCUAAGCAUCAGGUAACAUCAAAUCGUACCCCAAACCGACACAGGUGGUCAGGUAGAGAAUACCAAGGCGCUUGAGAGAACUCGGGUGAAGGAACUAGGCAAAAUGGUGCCGUAACUUCGGGAGAAGGCACGCUGAUAUGUAGGUGAAGCGACUUGCUCGUGGAGCUGAAAUCAGUCGAAGAUACCAGCUGGCUGCAACUGUUUAUUAAAAACACAGCACUGUGCAAACACGAAAGUGGACGUAUACGGUGUGACGCCUGCCCGGUGCCGGAAGGUUAAUUGAUGGGGUUAGCGGCAACGCGAAGCUCUUGAUCGAAGCCCCGGUAAACGGCGGCCGUAACUAUAACGGUCCUAAGGUAGCGAAAUUCCUUGUCGGGUAAGUUCCGACCUGCACGAAUGGCGUAAUGAUGGCCAGGCUGUCUCCACCCGAGACUCAGUGAAAUUGAACUCGCUGUGAAGAUGCAGUGUACCCGCGGCAAGACGGAAAGACCCCGUGAACCUUUACUAUAGCUUGACACUGAACAUUGAGCCUUGAUGUGUAGGAUAGGUGGGAGGCUUUGAAGUGUGGACGCCAGUCUGCAUGGAGCCGACCUUGAAAUACCACCCUUUAAUGUUUGAUGUUCUAACGUUGGCCCGUAAUCCGGGUUGCGGACAGUGUCUGGUGGGUAGUUUGACUGGGGCGGUCUCCUCCUAAAGAGUAACGGAGGAGCACGAAGGUUGGCUAAUCCUGGUCGGACAUCAGGAGGUUAGUGCAAUGGCAUAAGCCAGCUUGACUGCGAGCGUGACGGCGCGAGCAGGUGCGAAAGCAGGUCAUAGUGAUCCGGUGGUUCUGAAUGGAAGGGCCAUCGCUCAACGGAUAAAAGGUACUCCGGGGAUAACAGGCUGAUACCGCCCAAGAGUUCAUAUCGACGGCGGUGUUUGGCACCUCGAUGUCGGCUCAUCACAUCCUGGGGCUGAAGUAGGUCCCAAGGGUAUGGCUGUUCGCCAUUUAAAGUGGUACGCGAGCUGGGUUUAGAACGUCGUGAGACAGUUCGGUCCCUAUCUGCCGUGGGCGCUGGAGAACUGAGGGGGGGCUGCUCCUAGUACGAGAGGACCGGAGUGGACGCAUCACUGGUGUUCGGGUUGUCAUGCCAAUGGCACUGCCCGGUAGCUAAAUGCGGAAGAGAUAAGUGCUGAAAGCAUCUAAGCACGAAACUUGCCCCGAGAUGAGUUCUCCCUGACUCCUUGAG